rnacentral:misc_RNA from 1 species
GAUGAAGAACGCAGCGAAACGCGAUAAGUAAUGUGAAUUGCAGAAUCCAGUGAAUCAUCGAAUCUUUGAACGCACAUUGCGCCCGCCAGCAUUCUGGCGGGCAUGCCUGUUCGAGCGUCAUUUCAACCCUCGACCUUCCCUUGGGGAGGUCGGCGUUGGGGACCGGCAGCACACCGCCGGCCCUGAAAUGGAGUGGCGGCCCGUCCGCGGCGACCUCUGCGCAGUAAUACAGCUCGCACCGGGACCCCGACGCGGCCACGCCGUAAAACACCCAACUUCUGAACGUUGACCUCGAAUCAGGUAGGACUACCCGCUGAACUUAAGCAUAUCAAUAAGCGGAGGA